rnacentral:rRNA from 1 species
ACGUAUGGUGCAAGCGUUAUCCGGAUUUACUGGGUGUAAAGGGUGAGUAGGCGGUUAUGCAAGUCAUAUGUGAAAUUCUGGAGCUCAACUUCAGAGCUGCAUAAGAAACUGUGUAACUAGAGUACAGGAGAGGUAAGCGGAAUUCCUAGUGUAGCGGUGAAAUGCGUAGAUAUUAGGAAGAACACCGGUGGCGAAGGCGGCUUACUGGACUGAAACUGACGCUGAGUCACGAAAGCGUGGGGAGCGAACAGG